rnacentral:tRNA from 1 species
UGGGGCGUCGCCAAGCGGUAAGGCACCAGGUUUUGAUCCUGGCAUGCGCAGGUUCGAAUCCUGCCGCCCCAG